CUCAGUCGAAGAUGAACAAGAACUUUCUAACUGGAGACACAGCAACUGCAUUUAAAAAGCUGAUUGGUAGAUAUUACUGGGCAGACGAUAAUAUUGUGGUGAAGCAUCUGAUCGAAGUACACGAGCAAUUCUGUGGGAAAGAUUGCCCUUUAGAGAAGUCUAAUACAGAGUCAGAGAAAGGACACCUGGGUAUCGGUCCAGAGGAAUCCGAUGCAAUCAGUCCACACAGAUCAGAGACACUACAGAGAGCUGAAGAAUGCUGUGCAUCCACAGAAGAUCCAGAGAAGUUCAUUUCUUUACAAAUGGAAGUGGAAGAUGGAACAGAGUCAGUGGAUGAAGACAGCAGUGGAGAAAGUGAUCCGGAUAUGGAAUCUGAAACAGGAAUAGAAAGUGGAGAGAAUCAACCUCCAAAACAAUUUAAAGCAUCAACAAAAAACAGAAAAAUGGGCAUUCUGUGGGCAACUAAGUCAUUUCAAGAUUGGCAUGAAGAGUGUUUUGGUGAGAAACUGGACCUGAGACUUGUUAGUCCUUCUAAGCUGUCCAGUCUUCUGUGUAGAUUUUACUGCGAGGUCAAGGCCAAACCGACCAGGAAACACCCCCAGGACACCCUCUAUAAUAGAACGACGCUGAUGUCAAUCAGAUAUUCCCUUAACAAUCAUCUGUCUGACCUAAAUAGACAAAUCGACAUUGUUAGAGGUGAAGAAUUUGAUGAACCAAAUAGAAUAUUGGCAGAGAUUUGUAAGCCAAGGCUAGGAUUAAGAAAACCAACAGGGCAUGCAAAGCUGAUAGAUUGUGCUGACCUGGAGAAAAUUUCAAUUCACCUUCAAGGGGCCUAUAAAUCCCCUGUGAUCUUGCUUCAAGCAGUGUGGUAUUUACUGUCUUUACAUUUUGUAACACGCAAUACGAAACUUCAUCAGCAUCUAAAAAUAAAUAGUUUCGAGUUCAAAACAGAUCAAAAUGGGGAAUAUGCAAUUGUCAAGAGUGAAACUAUGAAGAAAGAACACUGCAGUCAUCGGGCCCUGGGGGUGCAUAUUCACAAGCGAAUGUAUGCCCUGGAGACUGAUAGAGGACUCUGUCCAGUGAAGCUCCUUAAACUGAUGAUAAAGAAAACAGACAAAAAUGCCACUCUACUCUUCAAUAAGUACAGAAAACGUACUUCGCCAGGUGCACGAAAAUGGUAUUUAGCUUCUCCUUUUCGAAGUGAAAUAUUGUCAUCAACACUGCAUAAUUUGUGCAAGGACGCAGGUGUCAAUACAAAGUACUCAUUUCAGUGCCUUAGAGAGACUGCCAUCACAUACAUAAGUGAUCAAGGAUUUGAUCCACAACAUUUGAUGAAUAAAGCUCUCCUCCAUAACAAGGGCAAUGUUAGAUGAAAGUAGGACGUUAGCUUAUAAGAGGGCAAUGUCAGAUGAUAUUAGAGCAAUGUUAGAUGAUGAACGGGCAAUAUUAAAUGAUGACAGGGCAAUGUUAGAUGAUGACAGGGAAAUGUUAGAUGAUGACAGGGAAAUGUUAGAUGAUAUCAGGGCAAUGUUAGAUGAUAACAGUGCAGUGUAAGAUGAUGACAGGGCAAUGUUAGAUGAUGACAGGGAAAUGUUAGAUGAUGACAGGGAAAUGUUAGAUGAUAUCAGGGCAAUGUAAGAUGAUAACAGGGCAAUGUUAGAUGAUGACAGGGAAAUGUUAGAUGAUAUCAGGGCAAUGUUAGAUGAUAACAGGGCAAAGUUAAAUGACAACAGGGCAAUGCUAGAUGAUAACAGGGCAAUGUUAGAUGAUAACAGCCUUACAGGGCAAUGUUAGAUGAUAACAUGACAAUGUUAGAUGAUAACAAGACAAUGUCAGAUUAUAACAGGGCAAUGUCAUAUGAUAACAAGACAAUGUCAGAUUAUAACAGGGCAAUGUCAUAUGAUAACAGACCAAUGUUUAACAGGGUAAUAAUACAUGUAGAUGAUAACAUUACAAUGUUAGAUGAUAACAAGACAAUGUCAGAUUAUAACAGGGCAAUGUCAUAUGAUAACAGAGCAAUGUUUAACAGGGUAAAUAUACAUGUAGAUGAUAACAUGACAAUGUUAGAUGAUAACAGGGCAAUGUCAGAUAAUAACAUUAAUUGUCUCAUGUGAAGUUCACUGCAUACAAUGUAUGCUUGAUUAGUUGUGUAUAUUAAAGCCUUGUAGACAGAGUCAUUAAAAUACUAUCUAUCAAACACUUUCUGAAUCUCUAAGAGCGAGAAUGCACAUUUACUUUAAUUGUUAUUAUAUAAUGGAAAUGGAAAGGUUUUAAAUAAUUUCUGUAUCACUUCAUACUCAUGAUCAUUGA